rnacentral:rRNA from 1 species
UGAAUACGAGACGCUAAGGCGUCGAAGUAGUGUAUGUCAUACUUCCAAGAAAAGCUUGCACUGUCAUAGAUAAAAAACGCCUGUACCAUAACCGACACAGGUGGGUAGGUAGAGUAUACUAAGGGGCGCGAGAUAACUCUCUCUAAGGAACUCGGCAAAAUAACUCCGUAGCUUCGGGAGAAGGAGUGCCUUAUUCGUAAGGUUGCAAUAACAAGAUCCAAGCAACUGUUUAUCAAAAACACAGGUCUCCGCUAAGUCGUAAGACGAUGUAUGGGGGCUGACGCCUGCCCAGUGCCAGAAGGUUAAAGAAGUUGGUUAGCAAUUGCGAAGCUGAUAACUGAAGCCCUGGUGAACGGCGGCCGUAACAAUAACGGUCCUAAGGUAGCGAAAUUCCUUGUCGGGUAAGUUCCGACCCGCACGAAAGGCGUAAUGAUUUGGAUACUGUCUCGGAGAGGGCUCGGUGAAAUAGACUUGUCUGUGAAGAUGCGGACUACCUGCACCAGGACAGAAAGACCCUAUGAAGCUUUACUGUAACUUGAAAUUGAAAUUGGACUUUAUUCGCGCAGUAUAGGUGGGAGGCGUUGAUUAUAAUCUUGUGGGAUUAUUGGAGCCAUCAGUGAGAUACCACUCUUGUAAUGUUAGAUUUCUAACUUUGAAUCAUUAUCUGGUCAAAGAACAGUUUCAGGCGGGCAGUUUGACUGGGGCGGUCGCCUCCUAGACGGUAACGGAGGCGUACAAAGGUUUCCUCUGAACGGUUAGAAAUCGUAUCUAGAGUGUAAAGGCAUAAGGAAGCUUGACUGUGAGACCUACAAGUCGAGUAGGGACGAAAGUCGGUCUUAGUGAUCUGACGGUACUGAGUGGAAAGGCCGUCACUCAACGGAUAAAAGUUACUCUAGGAUAACAGGCUGAUCUCCCCCAAGAGUUCACAUCGACGGGGAGGUUUGGCACCUCGAUGUCGGCUCAUCGCAUCCUGGGGCGGUAGUACGUCCCAAGGGUUGGGCUGUUCGCCCAUGAAAGCGGUACGCGAGCUGGGUUCAGAACGUCGUGAGACAGUUCGGUCCAUAUCCGGUGUAGGCGUUAGAAUAUUGAGAGGAGCCUUCUUUAGUACGAGAGGACCGAGAAGGACAUACCUCUGGUGUACCAGUUAUCGUGCCAACGGUAAACGCUGGGUAGCUAUGUAUGGAGUGGAUAACCGCUGAAAGCAUCUAAGUGGGAAGCCCACCUCAAGAUAAGUAUUCUC